rnacentral:tRNA from 1 species
AUUUUAAUAGCUUAUAUCAGAGCAUAAUAUUGAAGAUAUUAAUGAGAAUAAUUUUCUUAAAAUA